UUUAACCUCGGAUCAGGUAGGGAUACCCGCUGAACUUAAGCAUAUUAAUAAGCGGAGGAAAAGAAACCAACAGGGAUUGCCCU
rnacentral:rRNA from 1 species